rnacentral:lncRNA from 1 species
CAAUACAAUCAUUUAUAUCAAGGCAUUUUAAUAACUUUUACUAAACUCUAUAAUAAUUGUCAAUUAUUCUAGGAAUGACCGCCAAGUCCAUUUACGACAAGGUGUCAGCAAGUAUGUGCAGAAUGUAUAUUAAAUCCCCUCUAAAUAAUCAAUUAAUGUCAUUCCAAUAUAAUAAUAAAAUAUAUACUGAUUUAAUUACUAAAUAUUUAAUUUUUAUUUCAUAGGAUAUACAAUUGACUCUGAUGGAGGCAAGUGGUUUAAACAAUUAAUGUUUUUAUUUGUCUAUUUAACAGAUAGAAUAAUGACUACAGAUUUACUAAAUUAUAAAUUAUCAUUGAUCAUUANAUGAACCUAUGUUCAAACAACAAAAAAGUUUUAACCCAAAACUAAAAUUAACCACAACUGAUAUGAUACAAUACAAUCAUUUAUAUCAAGCCAUAUUAAUAACUUUUACUAAAUUUUAUAAUAACUGUCAAUUUUUCUAGAUAUGACCGUCAAGGACAUUCACGACAAUCUGACAGAAAGUAUGUGCAGAAUAUAUAUUAAAUCCUCUUUAAAAAAUCAAUUAUUGUAAUUCCAAUAUUAAUAUUAAAAUGUAGACCGAUUUAAUUAUUAACUAGUUAAUUUUUAUUUUAUAGGAUAUGUAAUUGACUCUGAAGGAGGCAAGUGAUUUAAACAAUUAAUGUUUUUAUUUGUCUAUUUAGCAGAUAGAACAAUGACUACAGAAUUUAUAAAAUUAUAAAUUGUCAUUGAUCAUUAUUUUGGUCAAUUAUCAAGGUGUAAAAUAGUUUUUAUUUCAAAGACAUUCUAAAACACAAUUCUAAAAAAAAAAAAACUAAUUUUAAACCGUAUUUAGGGGAACUUCCAAUAGUGCUUAUUAUAAGGUUGAGCAACUGUUAUUCCUCUGAUAAUUUCUUACCUUAAACAUUCCUGGCGUUGACUUAAGAUAAUUUAGUUCACAUAGCCUUAGGUACCUUACCUCCUCCCACUACCAUUAUAUAUUAUGCUCUAACUUCGUAAUUUUUUUUUUCAUAUCAAUUACGUUUAAAACUAUCAAUGAUUUUACUUUUUUAUUAAAAAAUUAUAUAUCAGUAGAUAACAACUAUUACUCUUUUAGUUUUUUAAAUUUGAUUUCAACUAUUCUCACUAAGUUGGUACAUGCCCUUUACCAAAUUAGUACAAAAAUGAGGUAAACUUUUCUUUUCCUGAUUUUAAUCUACUAAUUAUAUGGCUACAAAUGAAUUCUUUUACAAUUUUAUCUGUUUAGAUACUUUUUUUAUAAAUAUCACUAAUGAUGCCACCUCUAUUUUCAAUGAUGCCUUAUUCCAUUAUAUAAAUAGAUUUAUUCCACUGAAAGUACCUACGUGAGAAACCAAGAUUCCUUUAAUGUUUGUCAAAUUCUCUAAAACAACUUAUUAUUAAUAAACGAAAAGCACAUAUUAUCUUUAGGAAGUCUAGUAUUGAUAUAAAUCAAAUAGGUUACUAUAACUAAGAGCCAAAUGCAAGCGGCUUUCAAAACUAGACUAUUCCAUAUAUAUUUGUCACACUGAGCUGUUUAAACAGUAAUGGUAAUUUAAAAAAAAAAUGAUAAUUAUUAAUUUAUUUCUUACUUUCACAGAAUUACGUUAUAAAAACAAUAGUAUGUAUUUUAUAUUUUGAUUAAAAAUAAUUGAUUCUGUUUUAUAAUAAGUGUGCUGAAUAGUAAAUACAUAUUCGCGCUAUUGCUAGUUAUUGUUUCAUUUAAAGUGAUUUCUUGUUUUUCUCGUAAUCAAAUAUUUAUCGAGUAUACCAUAGGUAUAUUUCUUUUUUACGUUUUUUUCAACAAAACGGAUAUGAUAUCUUUGUGUACCUGCGUUUUCUACUAUUUCUGCAUUCUGAUAGUUUAGACUAUUUAUGGAUAGAAAUAACACUUUCUGAUGUUAUUAACUAAUCACAGUUAAGGUGAUCUCUUUUAAACAAAUAUUGAACAAAUAUUAUAUAUAUUUUAAAUAAUUUUACUUGAUGUGGAUAAAGUCUUAUCGAAAUAUAUUAAAUAAUUAUAAUACAUUUUAUUUUAAAGAUGAACUUGUUACAGGUAUGGAUUUUAAUUAAUUGCAUUAGAAAAAAUGUGUUUUUUUGUGAAUCCUAACAGUAACAAAUAAA